rnacentral:rRNA from 1 species
GACGAACGCUGGCGGCGUGCUUAAUACAUGCAAGUCGAACGGAAAGGCCCUGCUUUUGUGGGGUGCUCGAGUGCCGAACGGGUGAGUAACACGUGAGUAACCUCCCCUUGACUUUGGGAUAACUUCAGGGAACUGGGGCUAAUACCGGAUAGGAGCUCCUGCUGCAUGUUGGGCGUUGGAAAGAUUCGGCGGUUGUGGAUGGACUCGCAGCUUAUCAGCUUGUUGGUGUGGUAGUGGCUUACCAAGGCUUUGACGGGUAGCCUGCCUGAGAGGGGGACCGGGCACAAGGGGACUGAGGGACGGACCAGACGGCUACGGGACGCAGUGGGGGGGAGUAUUACACAAUGAGCGGAAGCCAGAUGCAACAACGCCGCGUGCGGGAUGACGGCUUUCGGGUGGUAAACCGCUUUCGACGGAGACGAAGCGGGAGUGACGGUAAUGGGUAAAGAAGCAACGGCUAACUACGUG